rnacentral:rRNA from 1 species
UACGGAGGAUCCGAGCGUUAUCCGGAUUUAUUGGGUUUAAAGGGUGCGUAGGUGGUUUGAUAAGUCAGCGGUGAAAGUUUGCAGCUUAACUGUAAAAAUGCCGUUGAAACUGUCGGACUUGAGUGUAAAUGAGGUAGGCGGAAUGCGUGGUGUAGCGGUGAAAUGCGCAGAUAUCAGGAAGAACACCCGUGGCGAAGGCGGCUUACUAAGCUACAACUGACACUGAAGCACGAAAGCGUGGGGAUCAAAC